rnacentral:lncRNA from 1 species
UAAACUAAUUAUCUUGUACCUCCUUUCGCCACAUCAUCAUUCACCUUUCAUAACCGCGGCGACGUGUGGAGAAUCUUCCUAGUUUUAGAAUGCCUAUUACAUAUUAUACAAUGCAAGUGCUUCAUAUAUAUCGAGGUGGAACUAAUAAUACAUAAUGCGUGUGACGUUGCUCAUUCGAAAAAAAAACUGAAAGACGAAUGAUCAUGAAAACAAAAUUAAAUUAAGGGCUGUCAUCACCACAAAAUCAAAGGGCGUAGCACGCACGCACGCACGCACUAUAUUGGGUGACGCAUGUUACAUAUACAUACAUGAACCAAAAAAAAAACAUAGAGGAAAGAAAAAAAAAAACAAUUAGGCAAGCACAUUCCAGCAUAUAUACGUUUGCCGCGGCCGCGCGCGCACCCAUCAGGCCGGGUGCAGCACAUUAUUAUUCCAGAGAAUCAUAAUUUUGCCGGAUCGGAUUAUAUAUAUAGGUAGAUCACGCCAAGAACUCGAUCGCCAUAGAUGCAUGGAGAUCUCUGUCGGCGACGGCGACCCGUCGGUUAGUCGGAAGAGCUGCUGCUGGAGGGUGCGUCCGACGACGAUGACGACGACUCCGGGGACGAGGCGUCGGGGCUGGGAGCGGGCGCGUCGGAGGAGGACUCCAUGGACCUGCCCUCCACGAUGUCGGGGCGCGCCGCGUCGACGACCGUCGUGAGUGGCGCCACCGCGACGGCGGCCAGGAGGAGCACGACGAGGAACACGCAGGCGCGGGCCAUUGCUGCUGCCUUGGUGGCGGUGCGUCGGAGCGAGAGUGGCAGCUGUGUUUCUUGUUUGCUUGCUGUGUGUUGCGAAUUGCGAUGACGGUACCAGGCGGCCGGCCGCGGCCUUUUAUAUACGAUACGAGAUACGAGACCGGCCGUGUGUGUGUUGUGUGGUUAUUUUUAGGGGAGGCCGGGGAGAGGCCGUGCAUGCGUUCCCUGCAGCUCCAGGCGCGCCAAGCGUUUGGUGGCAUGUAGAUCCUCCCGUCCGCGUGUCGUGUGGUCGCGCACGACGACCCUCGCAUGACUCGGGCGGAUGCACGAGUCUUUCGGCCAUCUGCCACACGCCCAAACGACGGCGACUUAUAGUGGGAGAAGAAGCCGCACGUACGCCAUAAAAAAUGGCAAACGAAGGUCACGGUCCGGCACGGCACGGCUCGAUAUAUAUUAUUUUUGCUAAAAUUUUUUAUAAAAAUAAGUGAUCAAAAUUGUGCUUUGGAGAUCGUGUCGUUGUCGUAAACGACUUCUAAAUCUUAUACGGAGGGAGUAACAUGACAACUUGCAAGGACACAACUUAUGUUGAUAUGGAUACAUGAUGUAAAUGUGGACUCGUUGUCUUAGUCGUGCCAAACCGACUUGUAGGCUUGAUGAGACCGUCGUGCCACCAUGGAAAUGAGUCGAGAGGAAGUGAAGGAGGGGAGAGGGGAGCACGAUGGCAACUGAAGGUAGUGCGGCAGUCGUCAAGAGAGGGUCAGUUUGGACAUGUGGGUGUCAAUUGGGUAGAGCUAAGAGUUAUGAUUAUAUGGAAUGUGAGAGAGUUAUAUAUGAGGACAUGUCUUUCUUUAGUGGAAUUUUCGUUAAUCAUACCAGCACUAUGGACCAAGAGAGUGACCCAAACACGCUCCACAGGUCGGGCCAAGCACAAUUCGCAUCAAGGUGUGUCAUGGCUUGACCAUACAAAAGUUGCAAACCGCCUGCUAGCCCAUAUCGAUACGAUCAACAAUACUAUUGAUGCAGGGUUCCCAAUCUUCUUGUUAUAGGAUAGAAAAGGGGGGAUAACUUGAUCCGUGCAACCUGACGAACCAAUGGCACCAACAGCCACUCUGGGUAGCCACUUGUGACAAAUAAAUUUGCCCAACCACACACAGUGGAUUGAUGUCUACCUGAACCAAAUAAAGGUAGAUACAAGCUCUUGCAAAGGAUACACAAGAACAAGUGGAAGAGAAAACUCUCAAUCCUCAAGGUGGUAGCUAUGGCACAACACUAUAUAAGGACAAGAGCACUUGGCUUCUUUGUUUUUCUGAGUUCAAUUUAUGGUUAGGGUUGCAGGGAUUAGUGGGGGUGUUAUUUAUACUAGGAACAUCCCUCUUAGUUGGGCUGAAUGGGUUGGUUUUGGCCCAGUUCGACAACAAUAGAGUUCAGCACCAGUGUUCACUAGAAUAGGUAUAACUCAUCCUACAAAGCUCCAAACGAUGUGCCGUCAGUUGCAUAUAAAAGUAGACUUUACCAUCUUUUAUAUAUAUAUAUAUAUAUAUAUAUAUAUAUAUAUAUAUAUAUAUAUAUGGUACAUUUUCUAUACUCCUAGGAGUAAUUACUCCCACCAUUUAGUAUGCGCAAGGGAGGGCCAUCCAGUGCCGCAGACUUAGCUAAUGGGGGGCUUCAGGGAUACUUACCGGGUUUGCGGGUCGAGAGUAUGUACGUGAAGGGUGGAGAAAAAAAAUAUAGCUGAUAACUUCCGUAAAAAAGAGAUAAGGUUUAGUCGUUGGCUGUUGACGUUUGUUUUUACAACAAUUUUCUUUUGACGUUGGGUUGGCAUGCGGUUGGCCGGUUGGGUACAUAUUUUUUAAACUAUGUGUAUUAAAUAGUAGUAUGUAUAUAUACCCGAUUUUCUAAAGUAUGUAUGGAUACUUUUUGCAGCGAUGUGGUUGUGCAUAUGUGCAUAUACCUAAUUUUUUUUAAGUAUACACAUACUUUUUUUCAUAUAUAAAAGUACAUAUUCAUACUUUUUUAAAGAGGAGUAUAUAAGCAUACUUUUUCCUGAAAGGAGUAUUUAUUCAUAUACUUUUAUAUAUGGAGUAUGUACACAUACUUUUUCUAGAUGAUUUACAUUUAAUGUGGACGUUUUCUUCUCAGUGGGUUGUACACUCACUGAAUGAUUGUAAGCUACUUGAUUCAUUUAGAUCAUACUCUAUUUCUUUUCAGAAAGUCUUUCGAUAUAUUCUUGACAAAUGGAGCAUACUUUAGUUACAAAGAUUCUCUGUGUGAAUUACAAUUGGAGCAUACUUACAUAUAUGCUAUGAGUAUAUACGAGUAUGAUUACAUGACCAGACAAGCCUAUUUGAUCUCCUAAUGGAUUCAAACAGGCACUAAAUAGAGGAGUGCACACACUUUUCGAUUAAUUGACUAUGCAUGUAUGCUAGUAGAUAAAGCAGAUUUGUACCACGCCGCUGCCGCAAUACUACUCGGUGAUGAACUGGCAUUAUAAUCUGAAACAACAAAUCUGAAAAGUAUCAGCAGACUAGAAUCUGAAAAGUAUCAGCAGAUACUAUGAAUCUGAAAAGUAUCAGCAUAUACUAGAGGCAUUGAAGAACAAACCUGUGCCUAUGCCGUGCAGCCGACACGGCUGUGCAUGCGCCGCCGCCGUUUGGAGCUAGCGUCGGUCACCCAUAUGGCUUGAGUCGCCCGGCCAUGGGGAGCAUGUCGCCGUCGUGGCCUAGCCAGAGGAUGCCAGUCACGCAGAGGAGAGCACCAUGGAGGGUGCCGUGCGCAGGGACCAGCAGCGCGCCGCUGGGGGACACCACCGCAGGGGAAUGCGAAGUCGUGCUGCCGCCGAUGGACGCAGCCGAUGGGUGAGCCACGCGGGGGGUGGGCUGGGGCCAGGCAUUCCACUGCUAGGGGAUCCGCGCAUGGUGCUUGCACGAGAUGGUCGGGGGCUCCACUGCCGUGGAAUUAGAGGCGCCGCCGCCAGGAGGUCCAUGGGGCGCCGCCGCCUGGAGGUCCACAGGGCGCCACCGCCACCGGCGAGAGAGGGCUCGCCGCCACUAGGAGCCACCGAUGCCAGGAUGGCCAUGCUGAGGGAUUCCAUCGUUGCAUCACUAUCGGAAUGGGAAGGCAGGAAGCAUCGUGGUCCAAUCCACAUCCACCAAGGGGCGAGGCGCCGCCGCCACCAGCAUGCGUGAGAUCCAGAAAUAGGAAGAAGAGAAAUCAAGAGAGAGAGAGGAAAGAGAAAUGAGUAGACUAGUGUAUUUUACGGGGCAAUAGAUGAUCCUAGAAUUUAGUAUUGUAUAUUUUCUAAGCGGGUCUGCUUGUUAACCCGGUAAGAAAAAUAUGAGGAGAUAGGUGUAGUAUAUGUGUCUGGUUGAAAGAGGGAGUAACUACUCCUAGAGAGUAGAAAAAAAUUUACCAUAUAUAUAUAUAUAUAUAUAUAUAUAUAUAUAUAUAUAUAUAGGGUUGGAACCAUCGAGAUUGGUACCAAAUUCACCAUGAAUCUGGAAGUCAAAAUCUAGGCAGCAACACUCAUCUUCAACUUGCUUUCUAUGGACACUGUGGCCUAUCCAUCCAUGGAGUAUUUUGUAAAACCUGAGUACAUGUGUUGCACCUCUGUUAGGCAGUAAAUCAUUCCUAGUGGAUGUAUGCUCAUAAUCAAUAAGGAGCGAAUUCACCUUAUGUUGCAGUCGAUGCGCUCUCGCCCGAGUCAUUGGACCCUUGUAGACAUUACAAGGCUUGUUCAACACAUGGUUGUGUACUAUUAUCAUGAUGGAUGUCCUCAUCAACUACUCUCUUCAUCGUAUAAAGAAUGUGAUUCUCACUUCUCAAUUUUUUAACGUUGACCAAAUAUAUAUAGAAAAACAUUCAUACUUAUGUUGCAUAACUAGUAUCGUUAGAUAAAUCACAAAAUAUGUUUUAGUAAUAAAUUUAUUUAAAGAUACAAAUAUAGGUAAUAUUUUUUAUAAACUUAGCUAAACUUUUUAAAAAAUAACUAGCACAAAUACCAUAGCGGCACUUUUUUUAGAACUACUAGGGUGUUAUUUAUAACACGGUUUAUUUAGCACACGGCUCCUACUUCAAGAUCCACGCAAAAGAUUUGAACUUGUGAAAUACUCCUAGUCCCGAAUAAAUAGAUUUUUAGAGUUACCUUAAGUCAAAUUUUUUAAAUGUUGAUUAACUUUCUAGAAAAAUCGCUAAGAUUUAUGAUAUUAAAUUAGUACCAUUAGAUUUACCAUACAAUAUAUUUUCACAAGAUGCUGAUUUUACAUUAUUGUUAUUCUUUUUGUAUAAAGUUAGUUAAACUUAAAAAAGUUUGAUUGACACAAACUAUAGGAAUUGAUUUAUUUAGGGAUGGAGAGAGUAAACAGAAUGUUUUAAACAAAUGCACAUAGUCCACAGUAAUACUCGUCUUGUCCUUAAAUAUAUGUCGUCAUGGUUUGUGUGUUGAUAAAUUUAACUAAAUUUAUAGAAAAUAUUAGCAACACAUGUAUCUCUAAAUAAUUUUUUUUAUAAAAAUAGAUUCAAUGAUCUAUAUUAUGAUAUCAAUUAUGUAACAUAAAUAUCAGCAUUGAUUAUAUAUAUUUAGUCAAAGUUAUUUUUCAGCAAAUUAUCAGCCUGUUCGUUGGGAUGAUAAAUUAUAGCUGAAAAUAUUAUUUGCUGAUUUGUUGUGGAGAAAAACACCUAAAGCGAACAGGUUAUGCUUACUUCUUACUUCUUACUGGCUCUGUUUAGAUUUGAAUUUUUUUGGCCAAAGUGGUAACAUUUUUUGUGGUCAGAACUUUAGCUCAGAAGUCUGACACACGCGAAAAAUUUUAGGUGUUUAGUUUGGUAAAAUUUUUUCUGACACAACUUGGGUUGCAUUCAGUUGCAGUUGUCAUUGGUGGGCUUUUAUGGGAGUGCGUGCAGAGUAGCAGGCCCUGCAGCCUAAAAUUUUGGCCCCAAAUUUUUUUGGCUCCGUUUAGUUCCCAGACCCCAAUUCCACAAAAAAUUUCUAUUUUGGACAAAAAAAUUCAAAUCUAAACAGACCUAGUCAUUCUUUUUUUUUUUGACAACGUACUUCUUAGUCAUUCAACGAGCCCAUAGGUCGAGUCCAUCACAAGCGCAACGGUUGCACUCGCCGCAACGAGGCGUGCGUCAUCCACCGAAGAUCUUGCCACCUUUUGAGAGAGAGGUGUGAGAAGAGGCGACGAUGGUGAGUAAGAAGAUGCAAUAGAGGUGAGGAUAGAGAUCUUAUCAGCCCAAAACGACGCUCAUUGUCAAUAAUUUGGGGAAGAGGCUCACAAGCCUCUGGCUUGGAGGAACAAUUAUGAGCGUAUUUGAUUUGCAGACUUAGGAGGGCCAGGCCACCGAGCCAGGCCUAGGCCAGCUAUGGCCUGGCUGUCAUGGGCCAAGACCCUUGUUUGAUUGUAUUUUAGGAAAAACCGUUGGUCAAGAUGAUCUUUUGUUUGAUUCCCAUUUAGAAACCUGACUAGCAACCUACUACUAGCGUCAGCCCAAAAAUGGCCCGCGCGAGCUCGAGCUCAGCCUGGCUUGAAAAAACGAAGGAGAGGAGCGUUUCUAGGGAGAUAAGAGGGAAGAUAUUUUACAGCCUAAGAGACAGGCCAGGAGAUGGGCCAAAUGUAUCAAACACUAUCUCUUGCAGCUUCAGAGCUUGGCUACGGAAUCUUAGCCAUAUCAAACACGUCUUAUAUGUAUGUGCCGCUGGCCUCGAGGAAGAGUUGACUCUACUUGCCACGACUUGGAGGAUGAGAGGCGUGCUCGUGUCGCUGGUUUGGAUGAAGAACCAUAUGUGCCACCACUUAGGAGAGGAAGGGGCUUAGCAGCUUGGGAUGGGAACAUGGCAAAUAUUCAUGUUCUCAUGUUCCACGUUAUUAUUCUGUUUCCAUGCUAUUCUGUAUUAAGAAUGACAACGAGAAUAUGGUUGCUCAGGCAAGGGGACCAUGCGCGACUUGAAAGAAUCUAGUAUAUGGCUAGACAUGGUGAAUAACAUAUAAAAUUUUUAUCUAUAAUUGCACAAACACUACUAGAGCAAAACAAUUAGAACAAAUAGGCCCUAAUAGCAAAACAAUUUCAGAAAGCCCGUUGCAUUAAGAUACAAAAAGUUGCUCAUUCGGAAACCUGGAAGACAAAAACAAAAUUAAAGGGCUAUCAUCACCACAAGAUUAAAUUAAAGAGCGUAGCACGAACUGUAUAUAUAUUGGGUGACGGAUGUUACAUUAUUAUACUACAUAAACAAAAAGAGACAGAGAGCCAAAGAAGAAAAAAAAACAAUUAGGAAAGCACAUUCAUGUGUGUGUUUGCCGCGCGCACCCAUGCACGCACAUUAUUGUUGGAAAGAAUCAAAAUAAGGGAAAUAGUUUUGCUGGAUCGGCCGGAUAGAUAUGACGCCAAUUGCCAAGAACUCGAUUGCCGUAGAUGCAUGGAGAUCUCUGAGCGGCUAGUCGGAAGAGCUGCUGCUGGAGGGUGCGUCCGACGACGACGACGACGACUCCGGGGACGAGGCGUCGGGGCUGGGAGCGGGCGCGUCGGAGGAGGACUCCAUGGACCUGCCCUCCACGACGUCGGGGCGCGCCGCGUCGACGACCGUCGUGAGCGGCGCCACCGCGACGGCGGCCAGGAGGAGCACGACCAGGAACACGCAGGCGCGGGCCAUUAUUGCGACGCUGCUAGCUAUCUGCCUUGGCUGCUUCUUGCUUGCUUGCUGCUGCUGUGUGUUGCGAUUGCGAUGAUGGUACGCGGUGGAGUGCGGAUGCUUAUAUACGAGACCGUGUGGCUAUUUUUAGGGUAGUGGGAGGCUGUUUCAACUCAAUUCCCUUGAGGCGCGCCAAGAGCUCCUCUCGCGCGUGUCGCGUGGUCGGUCGUGCACGACCUUCGCACGACUCGUUCACGCAUGCAGGAGUCUGUC